rnacentral:rRNA from 1 species
UACGAAGGGGGCUAGCGUUGUUCGGAAUUACUGGGCGUAAAGCGCGCGCAGGCGGUUCUUUAAGUCAGGGGUGAAAGCCCAGAGCUCAACUCUGGAAUUGCCUUUGAAACUAGAGGACUUGAGUACGGGAGAGGUGAGUGGGAAUUCCGAGUGUAGAGGUGAAAUUCGUAGAUAUUCGGAAGAACACCAGUGGCGAAAGGCGGCUCACUGGCCGUUACUGACGCUCAGGCGCGACAGCGUGGGGAGCAAACAGG